CAGUCGAGCGGCAGCGACUUAACUGAACCUUCGGGGGACGUUAAGGGCGGCGAGCGGCGGACGGGUGAGUAAUGGCUGGGAACCUGCCUGGUAGAGGGGGAUAACCACUGGAAACGGUGGCUAAUACCGCAUGAUGUCUACGGACCAAAGAGGGGGACCUUCGGGCCUCUCGCUACCGGAUGGGCCCAGUUGGGAUUAGCUAGUUGGUGGGGUAAAGGCUCACCAAGGCGACGAUCCCUAGCUGGUUUGAGAGGAUGAUCAGCCACACUGGAACUGAGACACGGUCCAGACUCCUACGGGAGGCAGCAGUGGGGAAUAUUGCACAAUGGGCGCAAGCCUGAUGCAGCCAUGCCGCGUGUGUGAAGAAGGCCUUCGGGUUGUAAAGCACUUUCAGCCGUGAGGAAGGCAUUGUACUUAAUACGUGCAGUGUUUGACGUUAGCGGCAGAAGAAGCACCGGCUAACUCCGUGCCAGCAGC
rnacentral:rRNA from 1 species